UCUCAACCUUAGUACAAUUUUAUACUAGAUCUAGUACAAAGUUGAGAGACUUAUUUUGGGACGGAGGGAGUACAAUUUAAUUUGUGUAUGGUGUGGAUUCCAAAACUAAUCUGCUUCUACUGGAACACAACACUCGCUUGUACUAGAAUUUUUCUAAAGCUAAUGGAAUCUCCUUGUACUCCAUCUAAAGCUUUCAUGAUGAUUACUUUUCCAAGAUACAUGUGACAAAGAGGAGGAGCUCAGGGAGCUGAAUGUGAAAGGAUAAAGUAGUCAGGAAGGAGAAAUCAUAUGUUGGCUUAACUAAUGCUUCCUAAUUAGUAUGCUUUUUAUAUUGCCGUUUAUAUUAAACUAAUAUAGUUCGCUUUUGAUUAAGGAUCUUGACAUGGCACCUAGCUGUUUUUGAUUUCCUGUACUUUUUGUUGAUCUUCUCCUUCGGAUUAAAUUGCUCAUUGCUUUUCCUAUUCUUUUGCAGGAACAUGAACCUUAUGAUGACCCAUAGUUGGAUGUACGUGAGAGGAUGAACAUUCAGACAUCCUUGAUGACUGGGAUUCUAGGAAGACGAUCACAUACUCGACCAGCCCACCUGUAACCGCGAGACAAGCUAAAAGUGAAGCAACUACAGGAAAAAAAACAAAGGAACAUGCCCUUUUGAAAAAACAACAAAGGAUUCCUGGGCGAACCCUCACUUUUAAUGCAAGUUCACUUGACGACUAGCAUAUCUUUAUGUAGCAUUGGAAUGCUUGGAUGAAGUUGGAUGGGAGAUCUCCAUUCAGCUUUUAGAAGCCAUGAUUUUGUUUGGUUGGUUUGGUGGACAAUAUAGGUCUAUAUCCACUAAUGAUAGUUAUUUUUUAUUUCAACUAGCAGUUGUAACAAACAUUAUAUACCUUUGUAUGCAUUUUUGGUGUUCAGAUUUUGCUUUAGAAUAUUGGCUCACUGGCACUAAUAUUUUUAUGUGAGGCUGUUUUUUAAUCAUAAAAAUGUUAUCUUAUUUAUUAACAACCAAUGAGAACACCUAAUGGAUGGAAUAACAUAUAUUGUGGUCUGUAUGCAACAACAUGGCCACAAUUGUGUUUCACCUUUGAAACUGCAA